AUGAACGCUGGCGGCGUGCCUAAUACAUGCAAGUCGAACGAAUCUCUUUUAGAGAUGAGUGGCGAACGGGUGAGUAAUACAUAGGUAACCUGCCCCUGUGCGGGGGAUAACAGGAGGAAACUCCUGCUAAUACCGCAUAGCCAUGAGCACCGCAUGGAGCUCAUGCCAAAUAUCCUUUAUGGGAUAGCGCAGGGAUGGACCUAUGGCGCAUUAGCUGGUUGGCGGGGCAACGGCCCACCAAGGCAACGAUGCGUAGCCGGCCUGAGAGGGCGGACGGCCACAUUGGGACUGAGACACGGCCCAGACUCCUACGGGAGGCAGCAGUAGGGAAUUUUCGGCAAUGGGGGAAACCCUGACCGAGCAACGCCGCGUGAGCGAAGAAGGCCUUCGGGUCGUAAAGCUCUGUUGUAAAGGAAGAACGGCGCAUACAGGAAAUGGUAUGCGAGUGACGGUACUUUACCAGAAAGCCACGGCUAACUACGUGCCAGCAGCCGCGGUAAUACGUAGGUGGCGAGCGUUAUCCGGAAUCAUUGGGCGUAAAGAGGGAGCAGCGGCCGCAAGGGUCUGUGGUGAAAGACCGAAGCUAAACUUCGGUAAGCCAUGGAAACCGGGCGGCUAGAGUGCGGAAGAGGAUCGUGGAAUUCCAUGUGUAGCGGUGAAAUGCGUAGAUAUAUGGAGGAACACCAGUGGCGAAGGCGACGGUCUGGGCCGCAACUGACGCUCAUUCCCGAAAGCGUGGGGAGCAAAUAGGAUUAGAUACCCUAGUAGUCCACGCCGUAAACGAUGGUCACUAAGUGUCGGGGGUCAAACCCCGGUGCUGCAGUCAACGCAAUAAGUGACCCGCCUGAGUAGUACGUUCGCAAGAAUGAAACUCAAAUGAAUUGACGGAA
rnacentral:rRNA from 1 species